ensembl:snoRNA small nucleolar SNORD12/SNORD106
ACUGUGGUUAAUGAUGCUGAUUUUUUUCCCCGUCAUAUCGACCAUGGUGAAUCAAAUGAAACUAAGCCAGUUUUGUCUGAAACCACAUU